AAAAAUGCGAUAUGCAAUGUGAAUUGCAGAACCACGAAUCAUCGGAUCUUUGAACGUAACUUACACUAUUAUAGUAUACUUGUUUCAGUGUGCUCAAACAACUAUUACAACCUAAAUGUGGGAGAACUUCUCCCAUCAAAUACAUGCUCCUUGCAGCAGUCACAUUCAUUUGUGUGCUCUAAGGGAUAACUUACACUUUAUAUGCACCUGAAAUCAAGUAAGAUAACCCGCUGGACUUAA
rnacentral:misc_RNA from 1 species